GAAGACGAUGCAGAGCUCGGGACGAUAUGGAAAUCAUUCUUCAAUACCAAGUUGGGAUCGAUUCAAGAAUACUUUAGACAGUGAAAUAUCUGCUUCAAGUCAUGGUAGAGGAUUUGUUUACAAUGAUCAUCCAGUUAACGAUUAUGAGGAGAUACCCCACCCCAGCUUUGGACACGGGUUUCCUUCAUCUGAUGUAGACCAUUCGGUGCAUGGACUGGAACAUUACGGAGACUUCCACCAUGGUCACCUUCCACACCACGUCGUUCAUCAACAUUAUAACCACGCAUUAGCGGCCAGGACAGUGUUGUGGCCUUUAGCAGGGUUAGCUCUUUUGGGAGCUGCUGCAGCACUUGUUUCAAAUCCUAUUCUCUUACAAUUAGGAGUAGCUACAGGAAAGCGGAGGAGAAGAGAUACAGAAGAACUCAUAUCAGAAGAAGUUUUAGACAAAACGAAAGGGAAAUAUGAAAAGGAAGAUGUUUUA